CCCUUAGAUGUCCGGGGCCGCACGCGCGCUACACUGAAGGAAUCAGCGUGGCUUUCUCCCUGACCCGAAAGGGUUGGGAAACCCGUUGAAUCUCCUUCGUGAUAGGGAUUGGGGCUUGAAAUUGUUCCCCAUGAACGAGGAAUUCCCAGUAAGCGCGAGUCAUAAGCUCGCGUUGAUUACGUCCCUGCCCUUUGUACACACCGCCCGUCGCUACUUCCGAUUGAACGGUUUAGUGAGGGCCUCGGAUUGGUCUCGGCCCGCUCUUUACCGGGCGGCGCCGUUGGUCGAGAAGACGCUCGAACUUGAUCGUUUAGAGGAAGUAAAAGUCGUAACA
rnacentral:rRNA from 1 species